rnacentral:rRNA from 1 species
GACGAACGCUGGCGGCGUGCCUAAUACAUGCAAGUUGAGCGAUGAAGCUUGGUGCUUGCACCAAUUUGAAGAGCAGCGAACGGGUGAGUAACGCGUGGGGAAUCUGCCUUUGAGCGGGGGACAACAUUUGGAAACGAAUGCUAAUACCGCAUAACAACUUUAAACAUAAGUUUUAAGUUUGAAAGAUGCAAUUGCAUCACUCAAAGAUGAUCCCGCGUUGUAUUAGCUAGUUGGUGAGGUAAAGGCUCACCAAGGCGAUGAUACAUAGCCGACCUGAGAGGGUGAUCGGCCACAUUGGGACUGGGACACGGCCCAAACUCCUACGGGAGGCAGCAGUAGGGAAUCUUCGGCGAUGGACGAAAGUCUGACCGAGCAACGCCGCGUGAGUGAAGAAGGUUUUCGGAUCGUAAAACUCUGUUGGUAGGGAAGAACGUUGGUGAGAGUGGAAAGCUCAUCAAGUGACGGUAACUACCCAGAAAGGGACGGCUAACUACGUG